rfam:Schistosoma mattheei strain Denwood, Zambia genome assembly, scaffold: SMTD_scaffold0001334
AUCCAGCUGACGAGCGCCAAAAUAAGACGAAACGAGCGUCAAACUGGAU